UACGGGGGGGGCAAGCGUUGUUCGGAAUUACUGGGCGUAAAGGGCUCGUAGGCGGCCAACUAAGUCAGACGUGAAAUCCCUCGGCUUAACCGGGGAACUGCGUCUGAUACUGGAUGGCUAGAGGUUGGGAGAGGGAUGCGGAAUUCCAGGUGUAACGGUGAAAUGCGUAGAUAUCUGGAGGAACACCGGUGGCGAAGGCGGCAUCCUGGACCAAUUCUGACGCUGAGGAGCGAAAGCCAGGGGAGCAAACGGG
rnacentral:rRNA from 1 species